CAGCCCCAGCCCCAGCCCGGGAGGCGCCGGUACCUGCGUCCGCCGGCCGCGGUUCCUGCGCGCCGCUAAGCCCCUGCGGCGCGUCCUGCGGAGCGGAGCGGUGCGGUGCGACUAGCAGCGUCGAGCAGGAGGAAACGACGAACGUGUAUCUGCCUCAAAUACGUCUUUGCUCUCCUACCUGCAUCUCCUCUAGCUCUGUUUAUGGAAGGAUACAGCAGCAUGGACACUCUCUAGGCGUUUUCAUAUACGAAGAUCUAGUGAGAUGCUCUGCACUGCAAAAUACCGUUUGGAUCGUGGGGGCAGCGUAGCUGGGAAAAAGAGAUUUUGGGCAGAAGUCCCUUGCACUGGGAACAGUGGACAUGGACUGAAGAAGAGUGAAUGCCCCCCACAGCCGUGCUUUUGCAGGCUUUCCUAGAUACAUCACAAACGACGGCAGCAGUCCCUGAGCAACAUACCUUUGGAGCCCAGCAUCUAUUCAUAGGCUGCUGAUGGAUUCAGUUCCAUCACAGGAGUCUCCGGGGGGGCUCUAGAAGAGCCUGGUUUCUUUGGCUGGUUGAGGUCAAAGCUACACCCUUCAGAACCCUCCUCACUGGCAAUGCCUGGUGCCAAACAGUGCACUCAGGGCUUUUCAAGUAUCUGAGCUGAUUUGCCAAGUGAAUAGGUUUUUCACUGAUAAAUAGGUCCAGGUAUAGGAUAUGUGCAGCUAAUCAAUGACUUAUCUCUAGUAAACUAACAUGAUGUAGUGCAUGCUGCCACCUACGUCUCCUGAUUCAGGUUUCUGUACUGCACCUUCAAUUUAUGGGCAUCCUUUGCUGAAGGCAUCUUGUGAGACUCCACAAGGGACCAUAAACAGUUGGGGUUUUUAGGAAGGACCACAAGCUCUGGUAGGCCCACAAAGGAAUGAAACCAACCAUUUCUCACUGGCUCAGCAUGAGGAUGCCUUGAUGCAGACGAAGAACCAGCAGUCACAUUGGUGAAAUGUAAGUAGUGGCUGGAGCCUCAUCUGUGCUGAGGAUGCUGCCAGCACAGCUGUACCACUGACAGCAGUGGAAUAUUUUGCUCAAGUUCUCUAGAGGAAUCAAAGCCUGUAUUUUCUGUCUCUGGCUGUCUCUUGUUCUGUUGCUCCUCACUCAUUAAAAGGAAAUUCAGCCACACAAA